rnacentral:rRNA from 1 species
UACAGAGGUCCCAAGCGUUGUUCGGAUUCACUGGGCGUAAAGGGUGCGCAGGUGGGUUUGCAAGUUCGAUGUGAAAGCCCCGGGCUUAACCCGGGAAUGGCAUUGGAUACUGCAGAUCUGGAGGAUCGGAGGGGGGACUGGAAUUCUUGGUGUAGCAGUGAAAUGCGUAGAUAUCAAGAGGAACACCAGUGGCGAAGGCGAGUCCCUGGACGAUACCUGACACUGAUGAGCGAAAGCCAGGGGAGCAAACGGG